rnacentral:rRNA from 1 species
ACAGCCACAUUGCUCUGGGUGCACCUGUUCUUUUCUGACCUCUGACGUUAAGCAGAGCCAGGCUUGGUCAGUACCUGGAUGGGAGACUACCUGGGAACUUCAGGUGGAGACCUGUC